rnacentral:rRNA from 1 species
AUUGAACGCUGGCGGAAUGCUUUACACAUGCAAGUCGAACGGCAGCACGGACUUCGGUCUGGUGGCGAGUGGCGAACGGGUGAGUAAUGUAUCGGAACGUGCCCAGGCGUGUGGGAUAACGUAGUGAAAAUUACGCUAAUACCGCAUACGAGCUAUGGAUGAAAGCGGGGGAUCGCAAGAUCUCGCGCGAUUGGAGCGGCCGAUAUCAGAUUAGGCAGUUGGUGGGGUAAAGGCCCGCCAAGCCAACGAUCUGUAGCUGGCCUGAGAGGACGACCAGCCACACUGGAACUGAGACACGGUCCAGACUCCUACGGGAGGCAGCAGUGGGGAAUUUUGGACAAUGGGCGAAAGCCUGAUCCAGCCAUUCCGCGUGCAGGAUGAAGGCCCUCGGGUUGUAAACUGCUUUUGUACAGAACGAAAAGGUUUCUACUAAUACUAGGAGCUCAUGACGGUACUGUAAGAAUAAGCACCGGCUAACUACGUGCCAGCCGCCGCCGUAA